UGUCGGGAUCUUCAGGAAUCGGCGGCUGCUGUUUUGUAAACACUCAGUAUGAGUUCCAGUUCCCGGGUGCUUGGACGUUGCGGAUCGGCUAAAAAACGCAUCGAAUUCGGCGAUAUCUGUUUACCAGCAACUCGAAAUGAGUUAAAAUGUGUGCAAAAUAUGAAAAGCCAUAAAUGGCAUAUGUGCCGUUUUCCAUUGGAAAGUGUUAAGUGUGAAGUGUGUCCUAUGAAUCGAAAGAGGUCCAUGUGUUUAAGAUGUGUUGGCCGAAAAUAAAAAGUGGAAAAGUCAGGGGGGCUUGGGAUGAAACAUUAGCUGACUAUGAUAAGAAACUCAAUUGUUGCAUAGAGCACUCACAGAGCAGAUGAAUUGUCAUGUAGUCCGAUUUCCACCCCAGGAUUUUGUAUAUUUCACAACUCUCGAGGAUUGUUUUCCAUUUUGGGCACAUUAAAAAUUCAGAACGCGUUGAGCACAUUAUCACUUGCCAUUGGACCGAGAUGACUUCAUUUUCAUGCCAUAUGCCUUUGGAUGUCAGUGCUGUACUUGUGGUUCCACCCGCUCAUCCUUAAGUUGCUGCCAUGAUUUACUACAAGCAGAUGAUUUAAUAUAACCGCACAUACUAUAUGGAUGUAGACACACACGCACACAACCGGCCGGAGUGCACUUCAGAUGCAUUCGAUUUCGACUGCACUGGAAACUGGAACCCGUUGAACAGGCCCAGAAUCGGAGGCAGACACAGUACACAUGUUGCCAGUGAAGCGUCGAUUUGGAGGAAAAACGGGACGACCGUUCAAGUUCCUCCAUCUUGAAAACUGACGCCUCUAAGAAGCGGUUCCAAAAGAUGAGAUUUCUAUUUGGAUAUGAUAUCAGUAAGAACUAAGAAACAUUUUGAACUUAGUUUAUUUAGUUAAAAGUGUCUUAAAAUUUGAAACGAUAAUUAAAAUAUUAUUAUUACUGAUUAAAUUACCAUCUAUAUUGUUUGGAUACAUG